GCAGUGCUUGCACCUGGUGGCGAGUGGCGAACGGGUGAGUAAUACAUCGGAACAUGUCCUGUAGUGGGGGAUAGCCCGGCGAAAGCCGGAUUAAUACCGCAUACGAUCUACGGAUGAAAGCGGGGGACCUUCGGGCCUCGCGCUAUAGGGUUGGCCGAUGGCUGAUUAGCUAGUUGGUGGGGUAAAGGCCUACCAAGGCGACGAUCAGUAGCUGGUCUGAGAGGACGACCAGCCACACUGGGACUGAGACACGGCCCAGACUCCUACGGGAGGCAGCAGUGGGGAAUUUUGGACAAUGGGCGAAAGCCUGAUCCAGCAAUGCCGCGUGUGUGAAGAAGGCCUUCGGGUUGUAAAGCACUUUUGUCCGGAAAGAAAUCCUUGGCUCUAAUACAGUCGGGGGAUGACGGUACCGGAAGAAUAAGCACCGGCUAACUACGUGCCAGCAGCCGCGGUAAUACGUAGGGUGCGAGCGUUAAUCGGAAUUACUGGGCGUAAAGCGUGCGCAGGCGGUUUGCUAAGACCGAUGUGAAAUCCCCGGGCUCAACCUGGGAACUGCAUUGGUGACUGGCAGGCUAGAGUAUGGCAGAGGGGGGUAGAAUUC
rnacentral:rRNA from 1 species